rnacentral:rRNA from 1 species
GUGGGGAAUCUUGCGCAAUGGGCGAAAGCCUGACGCAGCCAUGCCGCGUGAAUGAUGAAGGUCUUAGGAUUGUAAAAUUCUUUCACCGGGGACGAUAAUGACGGUACCCGGAGAAGAAGCCCCGGCUAACUUCGUGCCAGCAGCCGCGGUAAUACGAAGGGGGCUAGCGUUGCUCGGAAUUACUGGGCGUAAAGGGCGCGUAGGCGGACAGUUUAGUCAGAGGUGAAAGCCCAGGGCUCAACCUUGGAAUUGCCUUUGAUACUGGCUGUCUGGAGUACGGGAGAGGUGAGUGGAACUCCGAGUGUAGAGGUGAAAUUCGUAGAUAUUCGGAAGAACACCAGUGGCGAAGGCGACUCACUGGCUCGAUACUGACGCUGAGGUGCGAAAGCGUGGGGAGCAAACAGGAUUAGAUACCCGGGUAGUCC